GUGCCAGCCGCCGCGGUAAUACGAACCGUCCAAACGUUAUUCGGAAUCACUGGGCUUAAAGGGUGCGUAGGCGGCCCGAAAAGUUGGGUGUGAAAGCCCUCGGCUUAACCGAGGAAUUGCGCCCAAAACUGCCGGGCUCGAGGGAGACAGAGGUGAGCGGAACUUAGGGUGGAGCGGUGAAAUGCGUUGAUAUCCUAAGGAACACCAGUAGCGUAAGCGGCUCACUGGGUCUCUUCUGACGCUGAGGCACGAAAGCUAGGGGAGCGAAGAGGAUUAGAUACCCUCGUAGUCCUAGCCUUAAACGAUGAGCACUGGUUUGGAGGGCCCUCCAUAGCCUUCCAGACGUAGCGAAAGUGUUAAGUGCUCCGCCUGGGGAGUAUGGUCGCAAGGCUGAA
rnacentral:rRNA from 1 species